GACGAACGCUGGCGGCGUGCCUAAUACAUGCAAGUUGAGCGCUGAAGGUUGGUACUUGUACCAACUGGAUGAGCAGCGAACGGGUGAGUAACGCGUGGGGAAUCUGCCUUUGAGCGGGGGACAACAUUUGGAAACGAAUGCUAAUACCGCAUAAAAACUUUAAACACAAGUUUUAAGUUUGAAAGAUGCAAUUGCAUCACUCAAAGAUGAUCCCGCGUUGUAUUAGCUAGUUGGUGAGGUAAAGGCUCACCAAGGCGAUGAUACAUAGCCGACCUGAGAGGGUGAUCGGCCACAUUGGGACUGAGACACGGCCCAAACUCCUACGGGAGGCAGCAGUAGGGAAUCUUCGGCAAUGGACGAAAGUCUGACCGAGCAACGCCGCGGGAGUGAAGAAGGGUUUCGGAUCGUAAAACUCUGUUGGUAGGGAAGAACGUUGGUGAGAGUGGAAAGCUCAUCAAGUGACGGUAACUACCCAGAAAGGGACGGCUAACUACGUG
rnacentral:rRNA from 1 species